GCUGUGUCCCAAAUGUGCCCCUCCGAUGUCCACACAUACCUGGCAAAGGUACAUACGGGGGUAUUGCUGUACUCAGCCGACAUAGCUGAGCAACAUAUGAAGUAUUAUAUAGUCGUAGCACACAUAAGGUUUGCAAAAUAUACUGUGCAAACUCACUUUGUAUGUCAAAAAGGCAGAAAAAAUGCUUAUUACCACUACAUCUGGUACAAG